rnacentral:rRNA from 2 species
UACGUAGGGUGCGAGCGUUGUCCGGAUUUAUUGGGCGUAAAGAGCUUGUAGGCGGUUUGUCGCGUCGGGAGUGAAAACUCAGGGCUUAACUCUGAGCUUGCUUUCGAUACGGGCUGACUUGAGGAAGGUAGGGGAGAAUGGAAUUCCUGGUGAAGCGGUGGAAUGCGUAGAUAUCAGGAGGAACACCGGUGGCGAAGGCGGUUCUCUGGACCUUUCCUGACGCUGAGAAGCGAAAGCGUGGGGAGCAAAC